rnacentral:rRNA from 1 species
UCUAGAAGAUCCUACGGGUGGCAGCAGUCGAGAAUUUUUCACAAUGGGCGAAAGCCUGAUGGAGCGACGCCGCGUGGGGGAUGAAUGGCUUCGGCCCGUAAACCCCUGUCAUUUGCGAUCAAAGCUCAUGAUUUAAAAGAUGAUGAGUUGAUAGUAGCGAAAGAGGAAGGGACGGCUAACUCUGUGCCAGCAGCCGCGGUAAUACAGAGGUCCCAAGCGUUGUUCGGAUUCACUGGGCGUAAAGGGCGCGUAGGUGGUGAGGUAAGUCGGAUGUGAAAGCUCGGAGCUCAACUCCGAAAUGGCAUUGGAAACUGCCUUGCUCGAGGAUUGGAGGGGGGACUGGAAUACUUGGUGUAGCAGUGAAAUGCGUAGAUAUCAAGUGGAACACCAGUGGCGAAGGCGAGUCCCUGGACAACUCCUGACACUGAGGCACGAAAGCUAGGGGAGCAAACAGGAUUAGAUACCCGUGUAGUC